CAGUAGCCGCGGUAAUACGUAGGUGGCAAGCGUUGUCCGGAUUUAUUGGGCGUAAAGCGAGCGCAGGCGGUCAAUUAAGUCUGAUGUGAAAGCCCCCGGCUCAACCGGGGAGGGUCAUUGGAAACUGGUUGACUUGAGUGCAGAAGAGGAGAGUGGAAUUCCAUGUGUAGCGGUGAAAUGCGUAGAUAUAUGGAGGAACACCAGUGGCGAAGGCGACUCUCUGGUCUGUAACUGACGCUGAGGCUCGAAAGCGUGGGUAGCAAACAGGAUUAGAUACCCCCGUAGUCCCUGUCUCUUAUAC
rnacentral:rRNA from 1 species